GACGAACGCUGGCGGCGUGCCUAAUACAUGCAAGUUGAGCGCUGAAGGUUGGUACUUGUACCAACUGGAUGAGCAGCGAACGGGUGAGUAACGCGUGGGGAAUCUGCCUUUGAGCGGGGGACAACAUUUGGAAACGAAUGCUAAUACCGCAUAAAAACUUUAAACACAAGUUUUAAGUUUGAAAGAUGCAAUUGCAUCACUCAAAGAUGAUCUCGCGUUGUAUUAGCUAGUUGGUGAGGUAAAGGCUCACCAAGGCGAUGAUACAUAGCCGACCUGGGAGGGUGAUCGGCCACAUUGGGACUGGGACACGGCCCAAGCUCCUACGGGAGGGAGCAGGAGGGAAUCUUCGGCAAUGGACGAAAGUCUGACCGAGCAACGCCGCGUGAGUGAAGAAGGUUUUCGGAUCGUAAAACUCUGUUGGUAGAGAAGAACGUUGGUGGGAGUGGAAAGCUCAUCAAGUGACGGUAACUACCCAGAAAGGGACGGCUAACUACGUG
rnacentral:rRNA from 1 species